rnacentral:rRNA from 1 species
AGUAACGCGUGGAUAACCUGCCUCACACUGGGGGAUAACAGUUAGAAAUGACUGCUAAUACCGCAUAAGCGCACAGUACCGCAUGGUACAGUGUGAAAAACUCCGGUGGUGUGAGAUGGAUCCGCGUCUGAUUAGCCAGUUGGCGGGGUAACGGCCCACCAAAGCGACGAUCAGUAGCCGACCUGAGAGGGUGACCGGCCACAUUGGGACUGAGACACGGCCCAG